GCCUAAAUAGCUCAGUUGGUAGAGCAUUCGGCUGUUAACCGACAGGUCACAGGUUCGAGUCCUGUUUUAGGCGCCA
rnacentral:tRNA from 2 species